AGAGUUUGAUCCUGGCUCAGAACGAACGCUGGCGGCGUGGAUAAGACAUGCAAGUCGAACGGGAACUGGCGGGUAGCAAUACCUGCCAGAAAUAGUGGCGAAAGGGUGCGUAACACGUGGGCAAUUUACCGCGAAGACUGGAAUAACCUGCCGAAAGGUAGGCUAAUACCGGAUGUGGUCCUCCAGGGGAAUCCUUGGUGGACUAAAGGUGGGGAUCUUCGGACCUGCCGCUUCAUGAUAAGCCCGCGGCCUAUCAGCUUGUUGGUGAGGUAAAAGCUCACCAAGGCUAAGACGGGUAACUGGUCUGAGAGGACGGUCGGUCACACUGGAACUGAGACACGGUCCAGACACCUACGGGUGGCAGCAGUCGAGAAUCAUUCACAAUGGGCGAAAGCCUGAUGGUGCGACGCCGCGUGGGGGAUGAAGUGCUUCGGUAUGUAAACCCCUGUCAUCUGCGAGCAAACCUUUUCGGUUAACACCUGGAAAGCUGAUAGUAGCAGAAGAGGAAGGGACGGCUAACUCUGUGCCAGCAGCCGCGGUAAUACAGAGGUCCCAAGCGUUGUUCGGAUUCACUGGGCGUAAAGGGUGCGUAGGCGGUCGGCAAAGUCUGAUGUGAAAUCUCCGGGCUCAACCCGGAAACUGCAUCGGAUACUGGUCGGCUAGAGGAUUGGAGGGGGGACUGGAAUUCUCGGUGUAGCAGUGAAAUGCGUAGAUAUCGAGAGGAACACCAGUGGCGAAGGCGAGUCCCUGGACAAUUCCUGACGCUGAGGCACGAAAGCUAGGGGAGCAAACAGGAUUAGAUACCCUGGUAGUCCUAGCCGUAAACGGUGUGCACUUGCUGUGGGCGGAUUCGACCCCGUCCGUGGCGUAGCUAACGCGAUAAGUGCACCGCCUGGGGAGUACGGUCGCAAGAUUAAAACUCAAAGAAAUUGACGGGGGCCCGCACAAGCGGUGGAGUAUGUGGCUUAAUUCGAUGCAACGCGAAGAACCUUACCUGGCCUUGACAUGCAAGUGGUAGGAACCUGAAAGGGCGACGACCUAGCAAUAGGAGCUUGCACAGGUGCUGCAUGGCUGUCGUCAGCUCGUGUCGUGAGAUGUUGGGUUAAGUCCCGCAACGAGCGCAACCCCUAUGUCCUGUUGCCACCUGAACGAGAGUUCGGAGCACUCUGGACAGACUGCCUUGCUUAAACGAGGAGGAAGGUGGGGAUGACGUCAAGUCAGUAUGGCCCUUACGGCCAGGGCUGCACACGUACUACAAUGCCCGGCACAAUGGGAAGCAAUACCGUGAGGUGGAGCAAAUCCUCAAAACCGGGCUCAGUUCGGAUUGUAGGCUGCAACUCGCCUACAUGAAGCUGGAAUCGCUAGUAAUGGCGCAUCAGCUACGGCGCCGUGAAUACGUUCCCGGGCCUUGUACACACCGCCCGUCACAUCAUGAAAGCCGGUUGCACCCGAAGUCGCUCGUCAAAAGGCGCCUAAGGUGUGGCUGGUGAUUGGGAUGAAGUCGUAACAAGGUAACC
rnacentral:rRNA from 1 species